GAUGAACGCUGGCGGCGUGCCUAAUACAUGCAAGUCGAGCGAACAGACGAGGAUCUUGCUCCUCUGACGUUAGCGGCGGACGUGUGAGUAACACGUGGAUAACCUACCUAUAAGACUGGGAUAACUUCGGGACACCGGAGCUAAUACCGGAUAAUAUAUUGAACCGCGUGGUUCGAUAGUGAAUGACGGUUUUGCUGUCACUUAUAGAUGGAUCCGCGCCGCAUUAGCUAGUUGGUAAGGUAACGGCCUACCAAGGCAACGAUGCGUAGACGACCGGAGAGGGUGAUCGGCCACACUGGAACUGAGACACGGUCCAGACUCCUACGGGAGGGAGCAGUAGGGAAUCGUCCGCAAUGGGCGAAAGCAUGACGGAGCAACGCCGCGUGAGUGAUGAAGGUCUUCGGAUCGUAAAACUCUGUUAUUAGGGAAGAACAAAUGUGUAAGUAACUAUGCACGUCUUGACGGUACCUAAUCAGAAAGCCACGGCUAACUACGUG
rnacentral:rRNA from 1 species